CGGUGGCUGUUCGUCGCACGGCAGAUGGAGGGCGUGUGCUGAGGGGUGUGUUUGUGCAUUCCACCGCGGCACCUUGCGUUCUCCAUUAGGCCGAUGUUUUCCACAUUUAAACUCGAUAUUUUUGCUUCUACUCAGUGAGGUACGGCGUGAGAUAUGUGAACGUAGAAAUUUCACCGCCUCUUUCUUGCUGAAGACAGUGCCCCUUGUUUGUCCGGUCAACUUAGCAUUCCACAAAGUUCAGAGCUGAGAUAUAAAAGAGUUCAGACUUGCGUCUGCAACCAUGUGAUUUGCAGGAACGGGAAGGAGACCCCCUCCUACGAUCGUUUUUCUCUCCCCCAAACCUGCCCCUGAGUGGCCCCUGCCAGGCUCUGUUUCCAGGAAAGGGGCCUAGUGGACAGGCGCAGGGGCCUGCAUGAGGGAGAGCCUGGCUCAUUGAGAAAAACAAAAACAGAGAGGGGAGGUGGGAAGACUCUCUCUCCUUACAUAACAGUCUCUACCAGUGAAAAAGCCUCUCUAUACCACCGCUGUACUUGAAACCCGUCUGUCUGCUCUCAACACAAUGCCACACCCUGUAGUAGAUCUCUGCUAGAAAUGCAUCGUUUGGGACUGUUUCUUUUUUUGCAUGUAAACCGGACUCUUUAUAAUUUUAUUCAUUUUAAAAUUGAUGUGCACAUGCACAGAAAAUACAAGUGAUAUGCAUUCUUUUUUUAUGGAAAAAAAAUCUCUUACAUUUUUUAUUAUGUAUUUAUGAUAUUUGAAGGUAUACUAGAGUUUGUGAAGGCUGUGUAAUUAACACAUACAGUAAUAUUUAUCAGGGUAGUUUAAAAGCAACAUUUUAUACCAAGUCUUUAUGAAUUUUGACACUUGAUUGCCACCUCGUGUUUAUAAUAGGAACUUCCGCAAAAGAAAAUGGCGAUGGGCCAUCGUUUCUCAAACAGAAGGCUGCACCCUUCGGAGGUCGCAUUCGCAGGCUGAAUACGUCAUAAUUAUCAUAAAUACUUAUUUUAGAGUAUUAACAAUUAUAAAAUUUAGUAUUAAAUUGUCGUAAUAUUGCGAAUGUAAUGCUUAGUUAACUGAAAUAAACCAGGGUUGAUGACGCAUGCAACUUGCAUGCGACCUUCGGAGGAUGCAGCCUUCCGUUUGAGAAACGGCCACUAUUUUCUUGUGCUUUUAUGAGCAUAUUGUCAUCUUCUCUAAUAAAUUUUAUUUUUAAAUAAGUAAAAUAAUUUAUAAUUAUGAAUAAGAAAAUAUGUUUAAAUAGAUAUAAAAAUAGAAUAAAAAAUAUUAUGAAUGAAUAAACAGCAACACAAUUCAUUUCAAAGACUUCGUGUUUAGCAUCCAGAAACACACAUAACAUUUUCCAAAAAGAUAAAGCUAUAUAUAUAUAUAUAUAUAUAUAUGGUGAGUAAAUUCAAAAAGACUUUAAGUUAAAAAUAAACACAUUGGGAAUCAUUCACAAAGCAAAUUAAUUCCAACUAAUUCCUUAAAAUACGAAACUUUUAUAAUAACAUGAAUGAAAAUGAAACCUGUUAUUAAAAUGAAAAUACAGUAAAGUCUGUGUGACCAUUAAAACGUGGUUAGAGCUCUAAAACA